rnacentral:tRNA from 1 species
GGCUGUGUGGUCUAGUCGUAUGAUUCUCGCUUCGGGAAACCCCCGGAAAUAUUUCUAUUUCUGUGAUUGCGAGAGGUCCUGGGUUCAAUUCCCAGCUCAGCCC